rnacentral:rRNA from 1 species
GGUUAACGCUGGCGGCGUGCCUAACACAUGCAAGUCGAACGAGGUUCUUUUUCCCGUAAGGGAGAGAGUGUCCUAGUGGCGAACGGGUGAGUAUCACGUGGGCAAUCUGUCCUGUCGUGGGGGAUAACACCGGGAAACCGGUGCUAAUACCGCAUGAGAUCAUUGGUCGCCUGGCCGAUGAGGAAAGCAGCAAUGCGCGACUGGGGGAGCCCGCGGCCUAUCAGCUAGUUGGUGGGGUAACGGCCUACCAAGGCUAAGGCGGGUAGCUGGUCUGAGA